rnacentral:tmRNA from 1 species
GGGGUCGUUACGGAUUCGACAGGCAUUAUGUGACAUGUUCUGCGACUCAUCUAGCGGAUGUAAAACGCCAGUUAAAUAUAACUGCAAAAAAUAACAACUCUUACGCUUUAGCUGCCUAAAAACCAGCCAGCGUGACCAGAUUUGAAUCGCUCGUGUUCAAUGAUUGGUCUUAUUAUUAGCGAGAUACGACUGAAGCUUGUCUAGCGUUUCAGUAAGAGAAAAAUAGACUCGCUUGAUUUUGGCUUGAGCCAGGUGUCGAAAUUUUAGUUAAAAGAAAACAUGGCCUAUGGUUGUAGACGAAUAUGUUGGCAGAUGUUUGGACGUGGGUUCAACUCCCACCGGCUCCAUUU